GCAUGGUUGGUGGAACGGUAUCAUCUGCGCUUCCCAUGCGCAGGUCCCGGGUUCGACUCCCGGACCAUGCA
rnacentral:tRNA from 1 species